CCUACGGGGGGCAGCAGUGGGGAAUAUUGCACAAUGGGGGAAACCCUGAUGCAGCGACGCCGCGUGAGUGAAGAAGGAAUUCGUUGUGUAAAGCUCUAUCAGCAGGGAAGAAACUGACGGUACCUGAGUAAGAAGCCCCGGCUAACUACGUGCCAGCAGCCGCGGUACUACGUAGGGUGCAAGCGUUAGCCGGAUUUACUGGGUGUAAAGGGAGCGUAGACGGCAGUGCAAGUCUGGAGUGAAAGGCGGGGGCGCAACCCCCGGACUGCUCUGGAAACUGGACGGCUGGAGUGCAGGAGAGGGAAGCGGAAUUCCUAGUGUAGCGGUGAAAUGCGUAGAUAUUAGGAGGAACACCAGUGGCGAAGGCGGCUUACUGGACUGUAACUGACGUUGAGGCUCGAAAGCGUGGGGAGCAAACAGGAUUAGAUACCCUUGUAGUC
rnacentral:rRNA from 1 species